CCAUGCCGCGUGCAGGAAGACGGCCCUACGGGUUGUAAACUGCUUUUAUACGGGAAGAAUAAGGGGUACGUGUACCCUGAUGACGGUACCGUAAGAAUAAGGACCGGCUAACUCCGUGCCAGCAGCCGCGGUAAUACGGAGGGUCCGAGCGUUAUCCGGAAUUAUUGGGUUUAAAGGGUCCGCAGGCGGGCCGGUAAGUCAGAGGUGAAAGUUUGCGGCUCAACCGUAAAAUUGCCUUUGAUACUGCUGGUCUUGAGUUGCGGUGAAGUGGCUGGAAUAUGUGGUGUAGCGGUGAAAUGCAUAGAUAUCACAUAGAACACCGAUUGCGAAGGCAGGUCACUAACCGCGGACUGACGCUGAUGGACGAAAGCGUGGGGAGCGAACGGGAUUAGAUACCCCGGUAGUCCACGCCGUAAACGAUGGACACUAGCUGUCAGGGAGCUUGCUCUUUGGUGGCCCAGCGAAAGUGAUAAGUGUCCCACCUGGGGAGUACGUCGGCAACGAUGAAACUCAAAGGAAUUGACGGGGGCCCGCACAAGCGGUGGAGCGUGUGGUUUAAUCCGAUGAUACGCGAGGAACCUUACCAGGGCUUAAAUGUGGAGUGACAGGGGCAGAGACGCCUUUUUCUUCGGACACUCCACAAGGUGCUGCAUGGUUGUCGUCAGCUCGUGCCGUGAGGUGUCAGGUUAAGUCCUAUAACGAGCGCAACCCCUACCGUUAGUUGCCAGCAUGUAAAGAUGGGGACUCUAGCGGAACUGCCGGUGCAAACCGAGAGGAAGGUGGGGAUGACGUCAAAUCAUCACGGCCCUUACGCCCUGGGCUACACACGUGCUACAAUGGCCGGUACAAUGAGCAGCCACUACGCGAGUAGGAGCGAAUCUAUAAAACCGGUCACAGUUCGGAUCGAGGUCUGCAACCCGACCUCGUGAAGCUGGAAUCGCUAGUA
rnacentral:rRNA from 1 species